rnacentral:lncRNA from 1 species
UUGUUCUUUAUGUGAAAUUUGUUUAAGAGUGAUCUAGUUCCUUUUUAGCUUUCCUUUAGGUGUCUAAGUCGCAUCUUUGAUCUUAUUUCCACUUGGUUUUUCCCACUUAUACAUAUGCCCAUUGACUUCAGUAUGGGAAAGGGCUCGGUUUAAUGUCUUCUUUGGCUUAUUUGAUGCCUUGUUUUUAUGCUUGCUCCCUU